rnacentral:rRNA from 1 species
AGAGUUUGAUCAUGGCUCAGAAUCAACGCUGGCGGCGUGCCUAACACAUGCAAGUCGCACGAGAAAGUGGAGCAAUCCAUGAGUAAAGUGGCGCACGGGUGAGUAACACGUGACUAACCUACCCUCGAGUGGGGAAUAACCUAGGGAAACCUGGGCUAAUACCGCAUAAUACCCACGGGUCAAAGGAGCAAUCCGCUUGA